AGAGUUUGAUCAUGGCUCAGAACGAACGCUGGCGGCGUGCCUAACACAUGCAAGUCGAACGAGAAAUCCUGGGCAACUGGGAAAGUAAAGUGGCGCACGGGUGAGUAACGCGUGGGUAACCUACCCUUGAAUUGGGGAUAACUUUCCGAAAGGAAAGUUAAUACCGAAUAACAUGCAAAUCUCUUCGGAGGUUUGUAUCAAAGAUGGCCUCUGCAUGCAAGCUAUCGUUUGAGGAUGGGCCCGCGUACCAUUAGCUUGUUGGUGGGGUAAUGGCCCACCAAGGCUACGAUGGUUAGCUGGUCUAAGAGGAUGGCCAGCCACACUGGAACUGAGACACGGUCCAGACUCCUACGGGAGGCAGCAGUGGGGAAUCUUGCGCAAUGGGGGAAACCCUGACGCAGCAACGCCGCGUGGGUGAUGAAGGCCUUCGGGUCGUAAAGCCCUGUCAGGUGGAAAGAAACCUAUCGAUGUUAAUACCAUCGAUAAUUGACGGUACCACCGGAGGAAGCACCGGCUAACUCCGUGCCAGCAGCCGCGGUAAUACGGAGGGUGCAAGCGUUGUUCGGAAUUAUUGGGCGUAAAGCGCGUGUAGGCGGUCGGGCAAGUCAGAUGUGAAAGCCUUCCGCUCAACGGAAGAAGUGCAUUUGAAACUGCUCGGCUGGAGUACGGGAGAGGAGAGUGGAAUUCCCGGUGUAGAGGUGAAAUUCGUAGAUAUCGGGAGGAACACCAGUGGCGAAGGC
rnacentral:rRNA from 1 species